CAAAGGAAUUGACGGGGCCCGCACAAGCGGUGGAGCAUGUGGUUUAAUUCGAUGCAACGCGAAGAACCUUACCUGGGCUUGACAUCCCGGGAAUCCCUUGGAAACAAGGGAGUGCCCUUCGGAGAACCUGGAGACAGGUGCUGCAUGGCUGUCGUCAGCUCGUGUCGUGAGAUGUAGGGUUAAGUCCCGCAACGAGCGCAACCCUUGUCUUUAAUUGCCAUCAUUGAGUUGGGCACUUUAAAGAGACUGCCGGUGUUAAACCGGAGGAAGGUGGGAUGACGUCAAGUCCUCAUGGCCUUUAUGCCCAGGGCUACACACGUGCUACAAUGGGUGGUACAAUGGGUUGCCAAGCCGCGAGGCGGAGCCAAUCCUAAAAAGCUGGCCUCAGUUCAGAUUGCAGUCUGCAACUCGACUGCAUGAAGUUGGAGUUGCUAGUAACCGCAGGUCAGCAAUACUGCGGUGAAUACGUUCCCGGGGAUU
rnacentral:rRNA from 1 species